AGAUUGAACGCUGGCGGCAUGCCUUACACAUGCAAGUCGAACGGCAGCACGGGAGCAAUCCUGGUGGCGAGUGGCGAACGGGUGAGUAAUACAUCGGAGCGUGCCCAAUCGUGGGGGAUAACGCAGCGAAAGCUGUGCUAAUACCGCAUACGAUCUACGGAUGAAAGCAGGGGACCGCAAGGCCUUGCGCGAGUGGAGCGGCCGAUGGCAGAUUAGGUAGUUGGUGAGGUAAAGGCUCACCAAGCCUUCGAUCUGUAGCUGGUCUGAGAGGACGACCAGCCACACUGGGACUGAGACACGGCCCAGACUCCGUACGGGAGCAGGCAGGUGGGGUAAUUUUGGAC
rnacentral:rRNA from 1 species